rnacentral:piRNA from 1 species
UUGGCUCCACUGGUCACCUACUUUUCAUC